AACGAACGCUGGCUUCAUGCCUAACACAUGCAAGUCGAACGAUACCUUCGGUUCUAGUGGCGCACGGGUGCGUAACGCGUUGGAACCUUCCCUUAGGUUCGUAAUAACUCCCCGAAAUGGGUGCUAAUACCGGAUAAUGUCUUCGGACCAAAGAUUUAUCGCCUUUGGAUGUGCCCGCGUUGGAUUAGCUAGUUGGUAGGGUAAAAGCCUACCAAGGCGACGAUCCCUAGAUGGUCUGAGCGGAUGUUCAGCCACACUGGGAAUGAGACACGGCCCAGAAUCCUACGGGAGGCAGCAGUGGGGAAUAUUGGACAAUGGGCGAAAGCCUGAGACAGCAAUGCCGCGGGAGUGAUGAAGGCCUGAGGGUUGUAAAGCUCUUUUAGCCGGGAUGAUAAUGACAGAACCGGGAGAAUAAGCACCGGCUAACUCCGUG
rnacentral:rRNA from 1 species